CACCGGGGAGUAAGAGUCUGGGUAUCAGCCAAUUCGAGGAAGAGGGCUAGUAGCCAAUCCAGAGCCUAGCACGCGUUGUGUGGCCGAACCUCACGGUGGUAAGAGGGUCGGUCUGCGCGGGAGGAAGAGCCAAGCCAGGCUUAUUCAAGUUGCGUGAGGGUGGGUGCGGGGUCCGUCCCCUUCGUCGUGGUAACCCUUGAAGAGGCUCAGCGGCGGGUGGGCUGCCAGGCUGCCAAAGGGGGUUAGCACUCCAAUCGAAGAAGCGAUUAGCGUAAAUCGUCUCCCGUUCUGGCUUGAACCCACGGCGUUGCAGCGCCGUGGAUGACUGAAUUACUGACUGAACUCCAGUUCCUAGCUUUGGCAAUUUCUGGGGUUUCGCUUUUUGCGCUUCCCCUCCCCGGGUUCUGCUUCCGGAACUAAGCCAUCGGGGUGGUCUCUCUCUCUUUGGCCUUUGCUCGAAUUCCUCGUACAGGACUGUCUUGGUAACCAUGGUAGUGUUUAGCGUGGUGUUCAUCUUCACACUUCCAUGACAUGGUAAAAGUUCGAGCGGAGGUAGCAUCUAAAGCGUUGUUUGUUUGCUUCGAUGCUUGGACUCUUCAACUGAUUGCUGCAACUGAACAUUUUGAGUGGAACAAAAUUUUGAAAAGGUGCAAUAGAUAGAUAUACACAUAUAUACUUAUAUAUAUAUAUAUAUAUAUAUAUGUACAUUUAAUGAAAAAUAGUAUUAGUUUAGUAUGUUAAGUUA